rnacentral:rRNA from 1 species
CUGCGAAUGGCUCAUUAUAUCAGUUAUAGUUUAUUUGGUGAAGGGACUAAUUGGAUAACCGUAGUAAUUCUAGGGCUAAUACAUGAGUAAAGUCCCGUUGGGAUGUGUUUAUUAGAAUGAAAACCAUAUGCUUCGGCAUGAUAGUGAGUAAUAGUAACCUAUCGUAUCGCAUGCUUAAUGUAGCGAUGAGUCUUUCAAGUUUCUGCCCUAUCAGCUUUCGAUGGUAGCAUAUGGGUCUACCAUG